AUUGAACGCUGGCGGCAGGCCUAACACAUGCAAGUCGAACGAGUGGCGGACGGGCGAGUAAUGUCUGGGAAACUGCCCGAUGGAGGGGGGUAACUACUGGAAACGUUAGCUAAUACCGCAUACCAUCGGAUGUGCCCAGAUGGGAUUAGCUAGUAGGUGGGGUAACGGCUCACCUAGGCGACGAUCCCUAGCGGGUCUGAGAGGGUGACCGGCCACACUGGAACUGAGACACGGUCCAGACUCCUACGGUAGGCAGCAGUGGGGAAUAUUGCGCAAUGGGCGAAAGCCUGAUGCAGCCAUGCCGCGUGUAUGAAGAAGGCCUUCGGGUUGUAAAGUACUGUCAGCGAGGAGGCGUUACUCGCAGAAGAAGCACCGGCUAACUCCGUGCCAGCAGCCGCGGUAAUUC
rnacentral:rRNA from 1 species